GGUUGUGCACACGUCCCGAGGGACGGCGCCAUUCCGCCAAGUUUGACAUGUAAAUUGGCGGGAAACGCGUUCGGAAACCUCAAUUGGUUUAAGAAGUUUUUAAUGUUUUUGAAUUUGGAAUUGUUAGUGUAUUUGUUAUUGGUGAAAUUGAUUUUUAUCAUGUGUGUUGUUAUUUGAUUUUGUGACUGUAGUGUGUUUGCUGGUCCGAAAUUUAAAAAUUUGUUAUGUGUAGUUUUUGCAGUAAGAAGAGAAUAUAAUCACGCCUGUGACUACAGAGAGUGUUACCUGGCGAGCGUUGCUCGGUGGGGUGUCGCGGCGAGGUGGCGUGCAGUGCGUUGCGGCUGCCGUGCUGGAACGAGACGGACAUGCCGCUGUCCAGCGACCCCACCGACCCGCGCCGCGUCAGACGCUCCGCCGCCAGCGCCACUGAGACAUGCUCGUGGUCGUUGAUGUCGACGAGCGAGUUGCUGAGCACGUUGCGCUUGAUGAUGCUGGUGGGCGGCGGGUUGGACGCCAGCCGCGACGGGGCGGCCGGCGCCGGGCACGACGGCGGCGGCGGCACCACCACUCUGCGGGCACAACACACAGUCACUUCUAAAGAUAAAAUCACUAUAUUGUACCUAUAAAUUUGCGUAUAGAGGUCAUAAUAUGAAAAAUGAAGAUACCUACUUACAAAGUAAAAUUACCAGUUGUAUUUUUUAAUGUUAAAUAAACUAGCAAAUGAAUAACUA